rnacentral:sRNA from 1 species
UGCCGUGGGUUCUCUUGUGGUUGGCCG